GAGUAUUUCCACUGGACCAACAGAGCAGCAAAGCAGCACUGAAUCAGAAGCAGAAUGCGAAAUCAACACAAAGCCUGAUUAUGCGACCUCUUCCAAGGGAAUGGUCUGAGAGUUGUCUAUUUACUAAUGAAGCUCAGUGUGUAUUAAGGGUUGACUGAAGCAAUCAUCAGGAAUUUUCAUCCCUUAAAUUAGUCUUUUCUACCAGAUGCACAUCUUUCAUUUCGGAUAAUAUAACUUUUAAGUUCAGGAUACAACUGGACAAAAGAAAAGAAAAAAAGGUAACCAACACAACAUUUGCAGUAAUAACACAGUAACAGCUAUCAUCCUUCCCUGAGGAAUUCAGCCUACUUUAUGGACACAAUUUAGUACAAACUCAUAAGAAAGCUAACAAAGCCCCAAACCACUUCACAAGAGCGUAGAGAGGUAAAGGUCAGAAAUUAUUACCGCCAGACCCAGCAGACAAUGGCACCUACCGGAAAGAGCACAGGACAGGAAAACCUGGAAGCCUGUGUUCCAGUUUCGGUUAUUCCUUUAAGCACUAGUACGAUCUGAGUGAACUCAGCCUGCCCUGCUUUUUCCGUUUAUAAAAACCUACAUCAUCCUCUCAGUAGAAUGAAAUGCCACAUCUGAAAAGUUGCAGAUCUCUUUAGGAAAGAAAAAAGCUCAUGCUUUCCAACCAAAAUGGAAUAAUUCAGUCAAUGGAGACUUGAUAAAAAUUUGCCAUAAAGCAAUUGUUUACUUGAAA